rnacentral:lncRNA from 1 species
CGCGGGCUUCGCUCCUUGUUGGGGAUUCGGCGGCGGCGGCGGCGGCGGCGCGGGCGCGCGCUUCCUAGUGACGCAGGCAGCGGGGCCGCGCACGCACGGGGCUGGGAGGGCCGGACACUUAUUUGGCGCUCGCCGGGGAGGAAGGCGGGGCCGUGAAAUAAGGCACAACGGGGCCUGGGGCGCGUGCGCGGACCGACUUUGUCAGCGCCUAACGCCGUGACUUCCUCCUGGUCCCCGCGGCUCCGGUUGGGUGUCGCCUGCCCCGCGCGAGCGGUCCGGACGAGGGACGAUGGUCGGUGGACGGACGGCGCCAGGGAGCAGUGCGCACGAGCGUCAGGGCGGUACCUCCAGGCCUCCAGGUCGGAAGUCCUGCCCAGCCUCACUCAGUCAAAAUCAGGGUGUCUGCAGGGCCGAUUGUUUUUGGAGCUCCAGGGGAGAAGCUGUUCCUGCCUUUCCAGGUUCUGGAAGCACUUGAGCCCCUUGUCUUGUGGCCUACCCCACACCUGAAAGCCAGCCCAAGUCAGCUGAGUCCUCACCCUGCUGGUCCCGACACUGACUCUCCUGCCUCCCUCGUCUGCUGUCCAGGCCCCUUGUGCUGGCAUGGGGCCACCAGCUGGCCCCGGGCGCCUCCUGUCUCCGAGUCGGCCGACCAGCGACCUUCGUUCCAUCUGCUGCUGUAAUUCCUCUUUGCUUGCAACCAGCGUUCACAGAUCUCAGGGGUUAGGAUGUGACUAUCUUGGGC